rnacentral:rRNA from 1 species
GGUGAACCUGCCCUAAAUGGGGGAUAACAUUUGGAAACAGAUGCUAAUACCGCAUAAAACCUAACACCGCAUGGUGUAGGGUUGAAAAGAUGGUUUCGGCUAUCACUUUAGGAUGGACCCGCGGUGCAUUAGUUAGUUGGUGAGGUAAAGGCUCACCAAGACCGUGAUGCAUAGCCGACCUGAGAGGGUAAUCGGCCACACUGGGACUGAGACACGGCCCAGACUCCUACGGGAGGCAGCAGUAGGGAAUCUUCCACAAUGGACGAAAGUCUGAUGGAGCAACGCCGCGUGAGUGAAGAAGGUUUUCGGAUCGUAAACUCUGUUGUUGGAGAAGAAUGUAUCUGAUAGUAACUGAUCAGGUAGUGACGGUAUCCAACCAGAAAGCCACGGCUAACUACGUG